CACGCGUUCAUGAUCUUUCAUUCUGUGGAUGUAGUACGAUUCAUUGUGCGACCUCGUUUUGCAGAAAUAUCCGCCUCAACAUAAAGUGCUGGUCCUUGGGUUUCUUCAACACUGAGUUGGAGCCUCGAACAUUUAUUUUGAAAUUUUACUUGAACUGUGUCAUCAGAUGACAGCCAUGUCCGGUUCUACCGCGGCACUGGGUAAGUACCCCUUCAUAUCGACAGUAUAAUGGCUCCUGCCUGCGCUCGAGGGUU